GGCAUUGUGGCUGAGUGGUUAAAGCGUAGCACUCGAAAUGCUAUGGGUUCGCCCGCGCAAGUUCGAAUCUUGUCAAUGUCG